rnacentral:RNase_P_RNA from 1 species
GCGAUGAACCAGGCUGCCGCCGUUUGAAUGUACUUUGUAUUUCAAACGGAGGAAAGUCCGGGCUCCGCGGGGCAUGAUGCCGGAUAAUACCCGGGCAGAGGUUGCAAAAGCAUUCUCUGACAGACAGUGCAACAGAAAAAACACAGCGAAGGCGCCGCUGCCGCAAGGCCGGUGUCCGCAAUGGUGAAAAGGCGGGGUAAGAGCCCACCGCAAAAAUGGCGACAUUUUUGUUUGAAAACCUCAUCAGGAGCAAAGUCAAGCGGCGGCGUUUAAGGGUAUACCCCUGAGCCGGUGCCCGCCGGUAAGCCGCAGGUAGACUGCAUGGAGACAGCCGGUAACGGCUGCCCAAGAUAGAUGGCAGCCGGAUCAUGGUGUGUUAAACACCCUAAUCCGCACACAGAACCCGGCUUAUGGUUCAUCGUUUUU